UAGGGAAUCUUCCGCAAUGGACGAAAGUCUGACGGAGCAACGCCGCGUGAGUGAAGAAGGAUUUCGGUUCGUAAAACUCUGUUGUUAGGGAAGAAAAAAUGUAUAGUAACUAUAUACAAAAGAGACGGUACCUAACCAGAAAGCCACGGCUAACUACGUGCCAGCAGCCGCGGUAAUACGUAGGUGGCAAGCGUUGUCCGGAAUUAUUGGGCGUAAAGCGCGCGCAGGUGGUUUAGAAAGUCUGAUGUGAAAGCCCACGGCUCAACCGUGGAGGGUCAUUGGAAACUAAUAAACUUGAGUGCACGAGAGAAAAGUGGCAUUCCUAGUGUAGCGAUGAAAUGCGUAGAGAUUAGGAGGAACACCGGUGGCGAAAGCGGCUUUUUGGCCUGCAACUGACACUGAGGCGCGAAAGCGUGGGGAGCAAACAGG
rnacentral:rRNA from 1 species